UCGUUAACGAACGAGACCUUAACCUGCUAAAUAGUUAGGCCAACGUUUGUUGGUCGUCAACUUCUUAGAGGGACUAUUGACUAUUAGUCAAUGGAAGUUUGAGGCAAUAACAGGUCUGUGAUGCCCUUAGAUGUUCUGGGCCGCACGCGCGCUACACUGAUCAAGUCAACGAGUUUACAACCUUGGCCGGAAGGUCUGGGUAAUCUUUUGAAACUUGAUCGUGCUGGGGAUAGUCCAUUGCAAUUAUUGGACUUCAACGAGGAAUUCCUAGUAAGCGUGAGUCAUCAGCUCGCGUUGAUUACGUCCCUGCCCUUUGUACACACCGCCCGUCGCUAAUACCGAUUGAAUGGAUA
rnacentral:rRNA from 1 species